rnacentral:rRNA from 1 species
GUGUCAGCAGCCGCGGUAAUACGGAGGGUGCGAGCGUUGUCCGGAAUCACUGGGCGUAAAGGGCGCGUAGGCGGCUCGACUAGUCAACGGUGAAAGCCCGGGGCUCAACCCCGGGUCGGCCGUCGAUACUUUCGGGCUGGAGCACUGUAGAGGCAGGUGGAAUUCCGGGUGUAGCGGUGGAAUGCGUAGAGAUCCGGAAGAACACCGGUGGCGAAGGCGGCCUGCUGGGCAGUAGCUGACGCUGAUGCGCGACAGCGUGGGGAGCAAACAGGAUUAGAUACCCCUGUAGUCC